UGCCAGCAGCCGCGGUAAUACGGAGGGUGCAAACGUUGCUCGGAAUCAUUGGGCGUAAAGCGCACGUAGGCGGCCCAUCAAGUUGGAUGUGAAAGCCCUCGGCUCAACCGAGGAAGUGCAUCCAAAACUGAUGGGCUAGAGUUCCAGAGGGGCUCAGAGAAUUCCCGGUGUAGAGGUGAAAUUCGUAGAUAUCGGGAGGAAUACCAGUGGCGAAGGCGCUGGGCUGGCUGGAUACUGACGCUGAGGUGCGAAAGCGUGGGGAGCAAACAGGAUUAGAUA
rnacentral:rRNA from 1 species